rnacentral:rRNA from 1 species
UACAGAGGUCUCAAGCGUUGUUCGGAUUCAUUGGGCGUAAAGGGUGCGUAGGUGGCGCGCUAAGUCAGGUGUGAAAUUUCGGAGCUUAAUUCCGAAACUGCAUUCGAUACUGUGGUGCUUGAGGACUGGAGAGGAGACUGGAAUUCAUGGUGUAGCAGUGAAAUGCGUAGAGAUCAUGAGGAAGACCAGUGGCGAAGGCGGGUCUCUGGACAGUUCCUGACACUGAGGCACGAAGGCCAGGGGAGCAAACGGG